UACGUAGGUGGCGAGCGUUGUCCGGAUUUACUGGGCGUAAAGAGCGCGCAGGCGGUCGUUCAAGUCGCGUGUGAAAGCCCCCGGCUCAACUGGGGAGGGUCACGCGAUACUGAUCGACUCGAAGGCAGGAGAGGGUAGUGGAAUUCCCGGUGUAGUGGUGAAAUGCGUAGAUAUCUGGAGGAACACCGGUGGCGAAGGCGGCAUCCUGGAGCCGGCAUUGACGCUGAGGCGCGAAAGCCAGGGGAGCAAACGGG
rnacentral:rRNA from 1 species